rnacentral:tRNA from 1 species
GCCCGCAUAGCUCAACUGGCUAGAGCAGGGGACUCUUAAUCCCAAGGUUCAAGGUUCAAGUCCUUGUGCGGGUA